GUAUACGUGUGCGCGUGUGUGUGUGUGUGUGUGUGAAUAGGAUUUCGAGGUUUUCCCUUUGUAAAAGAGCCCAAACGUGUGGCACGCACUGGACGGCGAUGCAACGAUCGUGCGUAACGGCUCCAGCUCCCCCCGAUGUCCCCAUCGACCAUCGAGCCUCCCUGGACUUCCGCUAGAUGGCGCGUCGCCCUCAGCCCUGGCCACC